GUUAAUUUUGUGCACACCCUUUUUAGGCCCAAUGUUGCUGAUGAACUCCACCUUGUUGCACCAGACAUCGAAUGCGUCCAGGAUGCUGUCAGGAUCUCCGGGGGUGGCAGUGGUGAGGACAUACUGACACACUCACCUGGUUUCUAUGAAGGUCGCUGGAAGCAGUGCAGCUGCACUGAGGAUAACAAAGAUGAACGUGGCACUUUAGCUGAGACAAGCGCAGAAAGACCAAGAGGUGUGUGUGUAAGAGAAGGACGCACAGUUGGCUUCUUGUCCAGACAUUGUAGAAUACGGCCGGCACAGUGAAAAGAAGAAGAGACAGAGGGACAGGGUGAGGCAGCGUGAAACAGAUAUUUGACAUAUCAAGUUAACAUCAACAGGUGUGUGUCUGUGUGUGGGUGUAUGGAGUCCAAUUUCUUUUGCUGUGUCAUGAUGGAAAGAUCAAGAAAAACUGCCAACACAAAAUAAAGGUUUAUCAAAUGUGACCACGGACAACAUGAAUAUAUAUUUUGUAAAUAAAAGGUAAUUUGAAUAAAUAAAAAUCAACCAUAUAUUUAAAACCUGUGAUAGUUUCACAUUAGGUACAAAUAAAAAAUAUAAAAAGGCAAUA